rnacentral:rRNA from 1 species
AUAAAGACCUAGGGUCUUACUCUCGCUGUUAGUUCAAAAAAAAGACUUAAAAUCCAGAGUCUCGUAGCCUCAGCUGGUUAGAGUCCUCCCCUGAAUAAUGUGGGGGUCGGCAGUUCGAGUCUGCCCGGGACUCCUUUUAACAAGUUUUUUAAGAGAAAAAGGAAAUUUUAGAAGUUGAGUCCUUGAAUUUUGAAAUUUGAGAUUUAAAUUUUGAAAUUGAAAACGGGGGAUUAGCUCACCUGGCUAGAGCGCCUGCCUUGCCCGCAGGAGGUCAUCGGUUCGCCUCCAAUAUUCUCCACAAAAAAAAUGAUAAUUAUCAAUUGAUAAUUGUUAAUUGAUUAAAGUUCAUUGACAUUUUGAGAUAAACAUCCAACCAAGUGGAAAGAACCCAAAAAAAUGUGAAUUUUAAAUUGGGAAUUAUGAAUUGAUUCAUCAUUUAUAAAUUAACAUUUAUAAUUAAAAAAGAAACAAUAACCAAAAUAGGGGCGUAUGGGGGAUCCCUAGA